rnacentral:tRNA from 1 species
GCCGAAGUGGCGAAAUGGCAUACGCAGUUGACUCAAAAUCAACCGGGGGCAACUCCAUGCCGGUUCGAGUCCGGCCUUCGGCA